CAGGACGAGCCGACAGGAUGUCGGCGAGAGGGAGGGCCAGGCCAGGACGGCCUGUCCCGACGGGUCCGU
rfam:Pantoea sp. AS1 25__len__192833, whole genome shotgun sequence.